UACGAAGGGUGCAAGCGUUACUCGGAAUUACUGGGCGUAAAGCGUGCGUAGGCGGUUUGUUAAGUCUGUCGUGAAAGCCCCGGGCUCAACCUGGGAAUGGCGAUGGAAACUGGCGAGCUAGAGUACGGUAGAGGAGAGUGGAAUUCCCGGUGUAGCAGUGAAAUGCGUAGAGAUCGGGAGGAACAUCAGUUGACGAAGGCGGCUCUCUGGACCAGUACUGACGCUGAGGCACGAAAGCGUGGGGAGCAAACAGG
rnacentral:rRNA from 1 species